AUUGAACGCUGGCGGCAGGCCUAACACAUGCCAGUCGAACGGUAACAGGAAGAAGCUUGCUUCUUUGCUGACGAGUGGCGGACGGGUGAGUAAUGUCUGGGAAACUGCCUGAUGGAGGGGGAUAACUACUGGAAACGGUAGCUAAUACCGCAUAACGUCGCAAGACCAAAGAGGGGGACCUUCGGGCCUCUUGCCAUCGGAUGUGCCCAGAUGGGAUUAGCUAGUAGGUGGGGUAACGGCUCACCUAGGCGACGAUCCCUAGCUGGUCUGAGAGGAUGACCAGCCACACUGGAACUGAGACACGGUCCAGACUCCUACGGGAGGCAGCAGUGGGGAAUAUUGCACAAUGGGCGCAAGCCUGAUGCAGCCAUGCCGCGUGUAUGAAGAAGGCCUUCGGGUUGUAAAGUACUUUCAGCGGGGAGGAAGGGAGUAAAGUUAAUACCUUUGCUCAUUGACGUUACCCGCAGAAGAAGCACCGGCUAACUCCGU
rnacentral:rRNA from 1 species